GAUGAACGCUGGCGGCGUGCCUAAUACAUGCAUGUCGAGCGAACAGACGAGGAGCUUGCUCCUCUGACGUUAGCGGCGGACGGGUGAGUAACACGUGGAUAACCUACCUAUAAGACUGGGAUAACUUCGGGAAACCGGAGCUAAUACCGGAUAAUAUAUUGAACCGCAUGGUUCAAUAGUGAAAGACGGUUUUGCUGUCACUUAUAGAUGGAUCCGCGCCGCAUUAGCUAGUUGGUAAGGUAACGGCUUACCAAGGCAACGAUGCGUAGCCGACCUGAGAGGGUGAUCGGCCACACUGGAACUGAGACACGGUCCAGACUCCUACGGGAGGCAGCAGUAGGGAAUCUUCCGCAAUGGGCGAAAGCCUGACGGAGCAACGCCGCGUGAGUGAUGAAGGUCUUCGGAUCGUAAAACUCUGUUAUUAGGGAAGAACAAAUGUGUAAGUAACUAUGCACGCCUUGACGGUACCUAAUCAGAAAGCCACGGCUAACUACGUG
rnacentral:rRNA from 1 species